UUUUUCAAAAUAUUUUAAUGUUAAGCUUGCGAACGAUCUUGACUGUAUCUUUUUUGACACUCGAACCAAGUGUUGUGAAAGCUUUUACAAUUAUUAAGGUCUUCGUUCUUUGAAGCACACUCAAAAAAUUGUCGAAUUUCAGAACCAGCGGCUACUCCUGCAGCAGUACUAGCUAUACUUUGAAAAUUAUCAGUCGAACUUUUAGGAUUUAUAGGAUUUGUUUUACGAUCUUGUGUAGUUGUAGUAUACCUACAAACAAUAUAAACUGCCUUCAAUCAAUUAUCAAUAAGGUAAUUUUAUGAAAAAUAUUUAAUUUUUUAAAUGGACAUUAUAUAAAGGAAAUAGAAUUAGUCUUUAAAAAUAGAAUAAAACGAAUUCUUUGCUUGGCUUUAUUUAUACAGAAUACAAUUUUAGAAUUAAUUUUCUCUUGUCUUCAUACAUAUGAGAUAUACAUAUAUAUAAUUUGGUCUUCAUCUAAUAUCUGUAAAGAGAUGGUUUAUGUUACGAAGAGGCAUUUGUUAUAAUAAUAAUAAUAAUAAUAAUAAUAAUAAUAAUAAUAAUAAUAAUAAUAUUAAUAAUAAUAAUAAUAAUCUAUUGAAAGAAAUAUAUAUCUAUUAAAAUCGUACUAUGUUUACGUUUGCAAUCCAAUAAUGCUUUUUUAUAUAAUUCACAAGCUUGUAAAUCUGUUUCAUUUUGUACACAAUCUAGAAUUUGUCCUUCCUCGUAUUUGCAAGGAUUACUAGCAGAAUCAGCUUGUAUUGAUUCACUAGGUGCAGCUGAUUCAUUACGACCAGAAAUUUUAUCACCGAUUACUGUGCCCUGAUAAAAAAAAAAAAAAAAAAAAAACCUUUUAAAUAAUGAUUUUAAUUGUUCAAUAUAUUUUAAAUUUAUUGAUAUUCACCGCAGCUACACCAGCAGCUGUUCCUGCUAUAUGGCCAAACAUUCCAGGCUUCUUUUGUGAUUGCACAAUUAUAAUAUCUGGUCUGCAACAAUUUAUUUCUUUCUAAUAUCUAUAUCUUGGGAAAUUUAAAAUAGUACUGCAUUAAUUGAAUUAAAAUGUUUUAUUCAUUGACAAUAAUCUUAUAGACACAUAGAAAUUUAAUAAGAAUUAAUUAUAGAUAUAUAUA